GUGAGAUACACACAUGAAGGAUGCAGCCAGGAGCGAUUCUUACUGCCCUCAUCAGGCCCUGCUGAUGGAAGGGAGAAGCAUCCCUCUGCUGCCUUGCUUUGAAUGGGGCACAGUGUGAGGCACAGACACAAAUGCAAACAGUUCAGCUUGCUUCUUUUUUCCCCUGCAGAGAACCUGGCCCUGAUCCUGGUGCAGAAGAGCAAUGAGGAGCUGCACUGACAUCAAUCUGCUGUAAGCAGGAGCAUCACAGAGCCCUGCAUUGGAUGUUUUCCACCAUCCAGAGUGAACGGGUGGACUCCUGUCAAGCAGACGAGCCUCAAUGUACACAGUCCUCCUCCUUAGAUGGAUGUCGCUAUCCACAGCAGGCAGCUUUGCUGGUCUUUUUUUCCUCCCCCUCACCAUUGCUGCCAAGAGAAGAGGAGGGCUGUGGUCAGUGGCACCACCGAGGGACACGUGGACUGACAGUGUGCCAACACAGUGAGCAGAAAGCUGCAGUCUGGAGCUCCAUAAACGUGCAAAAGCAGAGCUGCUAUGAACCACUGACAGCACUGGGAUCACCAGCACAAGGGAGGUAGGAUUCUUCCUGCACAGUUGCUCCCAAAGGUAGGGAACUCUGUCUUAUUCACGCACCAAACCUCAAACAACCC
rnacentral:lncRNA from 1 species